UAGAAUCCUUACACUUUUGGGGCAUGGUCUGGGUGAGAGCUGAAACAUUAGGCUGAAUAAAGGCAUAAACAUUUCUUCCCACAUUCACUCUCUCAUUCCCCUUCAAUCUCCUCUUGUGAGUGCAUAAGUCUUUUAGCAACUUGGCAUAUUUUGGAAUUUUCUUAAUCACAUUAAGAAAAGGAAUGUUUAGCGCCACCUUUCUGAAUAUGUCAAAUAUCUCUUUAUCCUUAUCUUCCUCAUCUAAAUUUUUA
rnacentral:lncRNA from 1 species